AUUGACAUUAACGACUCAUUUUGUGAGCCCUGACCCACAGCAAGAUAGGCAUUCAUACCUAACUCUUUCAUCUGCUGUUCGCCAAUAACACGGGUAGUUACGGGGGCAAACUCAUCAGCCAACUGGCGAGCAUGUGACGCUAAAUACGCCGGAUUACAGAUAUUAGGUGGCAUGUUACCUAAAUCUUUGG
rnacentral:antisense_RNA from 1 species